rnacentral:tRNA from 1 species
GUUUUUGUAGUUGAAAUACAACGAUGGUUUUUCAAGCCAUUGGUCCUGGUUAGAAUCCUGGCAGAAAUU